AAGUUAGAAUAUACAAGCUAUCUAGGGAAUGACUAGGCUCAACAGUCGAAGAAGGACGUGGCAAGCUGCGAUAAGCUUUGGGGAGACGCAUGCAGUCUUAGAUCCAAAGAUUUCCGAAUUGUUCCAAUCGGAACGAAAAUCCCGAGAAUUGAAGCAUCUUAGUAUCGGGAAGAAAAGAAACUAAUACAGGAUACCGCUAGUAAUAGAGAAUGAACACGGUAGAGGACAAACCGAAUCUGGCCGAGUAAUUGGUUGGAGAUGUGGGGUUAUGGAACUGAGUACAUCCUAAAAAGCCAGCUGAAAUUAACUGGAACGUUAGGCCAUAGAGCGUGAAAGCCGCGUAAGUAAAACUUCAAGGGAUGAGUCUCAGUUUCCAGAGUAGCAUGCUUCGGAUCUGGCGUGCGAACUUGGGAGGCUUUAACUUCCAAUUCUAAAUAUUUGUUGAGUCCGAUAGUGAAAUAGUACCGUGAGGGAAAGUUGAAAAGAACCCUUAACAGGGGAUUAAAAGCGUCUGAAACUAGAUAGCGUUAGAUGGAUACGGCAUAAAAGAAACGAAGUUUUUUGAAGUGAAAACCGGCAACGGUCUAACGAAAAGAAUGGAUCAGUGUCGUAUCGUCCGUCAUGAAGCACGAGCAGGGGAGUAUUGUGUUGUGGCAAGACUAAUUCUCGAACAGAAGCAGUCGAAGCGAAAGCAAAUCUGCGCAGCAAGCAAUUGUCAGGCAGUAGGUCUUAAAGGGCCGUAGUCAUAACAUAAUGACCCGAAGCCAAGCGAACUACUCUUGGGCAGGAUGAAGCCACUCUUCCGAGUGGUCGAGGUCCGCACCUUAAGUUAGUCUAUCUACUAAGUUGACCUGGGAGUAGGCGCCACAUACGAAUCGCGCUUGGAGAUAGCGGGCUCCUUUCGAAGAAUGUCAUAGCAUUGCCUCUGUGGAGAUGGAAAUCAGUGUAGAGAUACUGAUUAGAAAGUAAUGGCCCGAGAGGGCCGGCUUUCUUGUCAAACUCCGAAUUUGAUUUCAUCGUAGAAGCAGGGAGUAGGGGUGUGCGGGGUAAGCUUCACAUCCUGGAGGGGAACAACCCAUUUUUAGGUUAAGUGCCCAAAAAUAUUGGCUAAGUGUUAAUCACAAAAGGUGUCCUUAUCCGAAAACAGUAGGAAGGUUGGCUUAGAAGCAGCCACCCUUUAAAGAGUGCGUAAUAGCUCACCUACCUAGGAUACGGGCCCUGAAAUAUACCCUGGGCUAAAGCCAAUUGCCGAGACCUAGAGGUUGCACUGAAUGUGCAAAUCCGGUAGGAAGGUGUUCGGAUAGCGCAGAAGUAAGGUCGUGAGAUCUUAUGGAGCUGUUCGAAGUACGGAUCCCUGUGCUAGUAAUAACGAUAGAGUGGUGAGAAUCCACUCCGCCGAAAGGGCCAGGGUUUCUUAGCGCUAAUCAUUAGCUAAGAGUUAGUCGGUCCUUAGUUUCUUCGUAACACGUUUGAAACGAAAGGGAAACAGGUUCAUAUUCCUGUACUAUAUAGAUACGUUUUCGGUAACGAUAGUUUAGGUUUUGACAUUUCAAGCUAGAUUAAGCUCUCUUGUCUGAGAGUUUAAGCAGAACAGGUCUUUGGAGAAUCGUAAUGAUGAGAAAAAGACCAAUAUGCAAAUAGCCGCAAGGUUUAGUUGAUGCUUGGAGUCCAUGAAAAUAAACCUAAAAAGAAUUCUAUAUAACCGUACCAAGAACCGAGGAAGGUGCCCCUAGCUGUAAAGGCUUAGGCGUAGCUGGAGAAACAACUUAAGGGAAAUCGGCAAUAUAGCCCUGUAUCUUCGGUAGAAAGGGUGCCUGCACCUCGCGGUGCAGGUUGCAAUAACAAGGACUGUCCGACUGUUUAUCAAAAACACAGGUGACUGCAAGACUGCAAAGUUUAGUAUAGUCACUGACUUCUGCUCACUGCAAGUACGUGAAACUCCAUUCCAAUGGAGCAAAGCGCUUGUGAAGAGCGGGCCUAACUCUGAGGCUCUCAUGGUAGCGUAAUACCUUGCCGAUUUAAUGUCGGCUUGCAUGAAGGAAGUAACGAGAUAGUCGCUGUCCCUAAGUUGAUCCAGAUGAACUCACUAGUGCGGUGGGUAUGCCGCAGAUUUCCAGCGGGAAGAGAAGACCCCACGGAGAUUUACAGCAGUCUGAUGUUGUGGUAAAGUUUUGUAAAUAUAGCGUAGAUGGGAGCUAUCGAAGUGUCUUCGCUAGGAGACAUGGAAGCAAAAAUGUAACACCAUCUUUACAAAACUUUAUUGCUUACUCGAAAGAGGACAGCAUUUGAUGGGCUGUUGGGCUGGGAUGGCACACCCUCGAAAAGACAUCGAGGGUAUCCAAAGGUUUGCUCACUCGAGUCAGUAAUUCGAGGUUGAAUAUAAGUGUAAAAGCAAGCUUGACUGUGUUCCGCAUAGCAAAGAACGCAGAAACGAAAGUUGGGACUAGAGAACGGCAAUGUGAUUCUUAAAGGAUCCUUGCUCUAAUAGUGAAUUUACCCUGGGGGUAAUCGAAUGGUCGCGGGUGAGAGUUCACAUCGACCCCGCGGUUUGUGACUUCGCCGUCGGCUCAAGGCAUCCUGGCUGUGCAUAAGCAGCCAAGGGUGGAGGUGUUAACUCAUUAAAGCCUUACGUUAGUUGGGUUAAGAACGGUGCGAGCCAGUUUGGAUCCUAUCUGCUGGAAAUGCUGCUUGCUUGAGGGGAAGAUCCCAUUAGUACGAGAGGAACAAGGGGUCGUGGCCUCUGGUAUGUCAGUUGUCUGACAAGGCAAAGCUGAGUAGCUACGCCAUUUUUGAUAAAAGCUGAAAGCAUCUAAGCUUGAAGCAAUCCCUAAAAAGAGGCAAGCAUUCAGGAAAUUUAUAUUCGAGGGAAUGUAAACGUACUGACAAGGACACUCCAAAAAGAGGAGAUUGAUAGGUUAGUAGUGUACGCACGAAGCUUCGGCGACGUGUUCAGCUUACUAAUACUAAACGUCCGAGUAAUCUAACUU
rnacentral:rRNA from 1 species